AUUGAACGCUGGCGGCAUGCCUUACACAUGCAAGUCGAACGGCAGCACGGGAGCAAUCCUGGUGGCGAGUGGCGAACGGGUGAGUAAAGUAUCGGAACGUGCCCAGUCGUGGGGGAUAACGUAGCGAAGGUUACGCUAAUACCGCAUACGAUCUAUGGAUGAAAGAGGGGGAUCGCAAGACCUCUCGCUUUCGGAGCGGCCGAUGUCGGAUUAGCUAGUUGGUGGGGUAAAGGCCUACCAAGGCGACGAUCCGUAACGGGUCUGAGAGGAUGAUCCGCCACACUGGAACUGAGACACGGUCCAGACUCCUACGGGAGGCAGCAGUGGGGAAUUUUGGACAAUGGGCGAAAGCCUGAUCCAGCCAUGCCGCGUGAGUGAAGAAGGCCUUCGGGUUGUAAAGCUCUUUCGGCUGAAAAGAAAUCGCACAGGCUAAUACCCUGUGUGGAUGACGGUAUCAGCAUAAGAAGCACCGGCUAACUACGUGCCAGCAGCCGCCGUAA
rnacentral:rRNA from 1 species